rnacentral:rRNA from 2 species
UUAAUUGAAGAGUUUGAUCAUGGCUCAGAUUGAACGCUGGCGGCAGGCUUAACACAUGCAAGUCGAGCGGUAGCACAAGAGAGCUUGCUCUCUGGGUGACGAGCGGCGGACGGGUGAGUAAUGUCUGGGAAACUGCCUGAUGGAGGGGGAUAACUACUGGAAACGGUAGCUAAUACCGCAUAACGUCGCAAGACCAAAGAGGGGGAC